rnacentral:lncRNA from 1 species
GGUAAGUACAAGUGUUCCUGCAAACUAGUAUUUAGGAAUGGGUAAAAGACAUGAAACUAAGCUUGAGUGUUAUUUAUCAAUCUCUGCUUUUUUGACAUUUAAAGUUAUUAGGACUGGAGAGGUGACACUGCAGUUUUGAGUGCCAGGGGCCUGGCUCCCAUGACUUCAAUCUGUGAUUCUGGAGAUUCGAUGCCUUCUUCUGACCUCCAAAGACACCAGGUGGUGGCACACAUCUUUAAUCCCAGCACUCAGGAG